CAGAGUCUGUCUCCACGCGGCUCACACAGUAGCAGCCCAGCUGAUCAAACACACAGCUCUACUAUAAGGUGAAUGCUAGCAGAGAGGUAGGAAUAAAACGUUAUGGGAGAAAUUAAUUCUUCAGGGAGAGAGGAAGGGACAAACAUCUCAGGGAAAGAUCCAGACUCCAUUUAUGCGCUGCCUAUGCAUUCCGUUUCUUAAUUCUUUCAUUCCUUUAUUUGGCGAACACUUACAGAAAGCUCUCCGUGUGCCAGACCUCAUCAUAGCUGCUGGGAAAAGGACAACAGCCAGCAAAGACUGUCUUCUUGGAACCUACUUUGCACGUAAGGAAGCAGAGAAGGCUAAGGAGGUCAGCAAAUGUGCCAUCGGGAGAGCAGAUCAAGGAAAGAGCAUGAAUAAGACACUGGAGCAGGGAAGACCCCGGUUAUCUGGAAUGACUAGCAUAUGGAGUUCGUGGAAAGGGCAGGAGAGCAGGGAGACCACGGCAAGAGCCUACUGCCUGGCUAUGGAGAUCCAUACAUGUCGUGCAAAGCGUUCAGAUUUAGUUCUGUAGAGAGAGGGUCCCCCAGGGUUUGGCCGGGACUGGGAGGGUGUUGUCGUUUUAAACGAAGGGAACGAUAUUCCCAGAUUUGGGUUUCAGGAAGAUUCUUGCGGUAGCCCGUGGGGAGUGUCUUAGAAGAGAAUGCUGUGCACGUUCCCAGAGGAUGGGAAGGCUACAUCUGGAGCCUGAAGAACCUUCUCCAUCUCACCAAUGAUGUCGAAUGCCCAGUUUGGAGAAAGAUAUCUGAUCCCCUUGCCCUGGGGAACUGGUCUGAUAAUGACCCCAUAUUGGUCUAUGGUUCUGACUAUGAAGACCAUGGGCUUAUGUUUUUUCAAACUAUUCAUCACUUUAUUUGAGUAGGUCAGACACACACAGUACAACAUUCACAAGGUACAUGGGGAGAGGGCAUGAGUGACCAGUAAGUGUCCUUCCUACCCCUGCCACCCACUCAGUCGCCUUCGCCAGCGGCAACCACAGUUAUCAAGGUUAUUUUCGUUCUCAAGACCGUUCAGGAACUCAGACCUAAAAUGGAAUUAGGAGGGUAUGUAAUGUGGUUAGGGCUGAGGGCCUGGGGUCAGGCAGACUCUGUUUAAAGCCAGGCUGCACCCCACCCCCGUCCCCCGCCCUGACCCAGAGCCUGGACAGCCACAGGAUUUCUCUUGUUGGGCUGCUGAGAUAAUUCAUAAGCUGACCCAAGUCUUAGCACAGUGUCUGGCACAUAUUUAUACUCAAUCGACAUCAGCUAUUAUUAGCUAUUGGCCAGUUGAGUGUGAUGGAGGAGGGUAGAAAGGCAGGGCACACCGAGCACUUUCUGGGGAAAGCCUUGGUCACCCAAAGUGUGGUCACUGGAAAUCCCUGGGAACUUACUGGAAAUGCAGAAUCCCAGGCGCCUGCCCAGACCUGCUAAAUCAGAAGCUGCUUUCCAACAACAUCUCAGAUUUCCUAAGUCAAAGACAACUGGAAUUCGCAAAGUCUGUGUCAUGAAUGGGUUCCUUCUCUGAUGUCUGAAGUAAAAAACCUGAAGAAAGAUAUCCCCGGACUUGCUUUGAGUUCUGCAAGUCCGAAGUCCAACAUGGAUCUCACUGGGCACUAAAAUCAAGGUAUCAGCAAAGCUGCAUUCCUUCUAGAGGCUCCAGAAGAGAAUCUCUUUGCCUUUUCCAGCUUCUGGAGGCUGCCUGCAUUCCCCAACUCCUGGCCCCUUCCUCCAGAUUCAAAGCCAGAAGCAUGGGUAAUUUCCCCAUAUCAAAACGCUAGCUUCCAUCCACAAGGUCCCUUUCACCACGUAAGGUAAUAUAUUCACAAGUUCUAGGAAUGGAGGGCAUGGAUCUCAUCUUUGGAGGCAGUGUUUCAUGGGUCUGGACAACCUGCUGGGAUCGUCCCUCAGCCAGCAUUCUGGCUCACCCUCAUUCCACAAGAAGAAACUGGGUCUAUUUGCUUUCCCAGAAUGGUGGGAGUUUCUCAGUCUGAGAUAGUUAAAUGCUGACUUUCCAGAUCUUCGUUCUUAUUGACAUAUGCCCCCAAAAUGGUCUAUGAGAGAUUUAUAGACUACUCGUUAGGGGCUAAAAAGUGUCCCCCGCCCCAAUUCAUAUGUUGACGUCCUAACCCCUGUACUUCAGAAUGAGCGAUGUUUGUGGAUAGAGCCUUUAAAGAGGUAAUUAAGGUCAAAGGAGGUCAUUUGGGUGGGCCCUAAUCCGGUAUGACUGGUGUCAUUACAAAAACGUGCCGUGAGAAGGCAGCCAUCUGCAAGCCGCGGAGAGAGGCCCGAGAAGAAACCUACCGGGCCAACUACCUCCUUGGCUUUGGAUGUCCAGCCUCCAGAACCGGGAGAAAGCAAAUUUCCGUUGUUUCAGCCAGCCAGUCUAUGGUAUUUUAUUAU